rnacentral:rRNA from 1 species
UACAGGGGGUGCAAACGUUGCUCGGAAUUAUUGGGCGUAAAGCGCGCGUAGGCGGCUACUUAAGUCGGAUGUGAAAGCCCUUGGCUCAACUGAGGAAGUGCACCCGAAACUGAGUGGCUUGAGUACCAAAGAGGGUCGCGGAAUUCCCGGUGUAGAGGUGAAAUUCGUAGAUAUUGGGAAGAACACCGGUGGCGAAGGCGGCUCACUGGCUCGUAACUGACGCUCAUGCACGACAGCGUGGGGAUCAAACAGG